AGUGAACGCUGGCGGCAUGCUUUACACAUGCAAGUCGAACGGCAGCACGGGAGCUUGCUCCUGGCGGCGAGCGGCGAACGGGUGAGUAAUGCUUCGGAAUCUGCCCUUCAGUGGGGAAUAACCAGUCGAAAGACUGGCUAAUACCGCAUACGAACUGAGGUUGAAAGCAGGGGAUCGCAAGACCUUGCGCUGAUGGAUGAGCCGAAGUCGGAUUAGCUUGUUGGUGGGGUAAUGGCCUACCAAGGCGACGAUCCGUAGCUGGUCUGAGAGGACGACCAGCCACACUGGGACUGAGACACGGCCCAGACUCCUACGGGAGGCAGCAGUGGGGAAUAUUGGACAAUGGGGGGCAACCCUGAUCCAGCGACGCCGCGUGUGUGAAGAAGGCCUGCGGGUUGUAAAGCACUUUUAGUGGGGGGGAAGUCUGCGACCUAACACGUCGUGGAAUUGACUUAACCCACAGAAAAAGCACCGGCUAACUCUGUGCCAG
rnacentral:rRNA from 1 species